rnacentral:rRNA from 1 species
AUACGGAGGGUGCAAGCGUUAAUCGGAAUUACUGGGCGUAAAGCGUACGUAGGCGGUUCGUUAAGUUAGAUGUGAAAGCCCCGGGCUUAACCUGGGAACUGCAUUUAAAACUGGCGAACUAGAGUUGAGUAGAGGGGAGUGGGAUUUCAGGUGUAGCGGUGAAAUGCGUAGAGAUCUGAAGGAACACCAGUGGCGAAGGCGACUCCCUGGACUCAAACUGACGCUGAGGUACGAAAGCGUGGGUAGCAAACGGGAUUAGAAACCCUUGUAGUCC